rnacentral:tRNA from 1 species
GGCGCAUGGGGCGAGCUCCGGUGGACAGCCGGUGGACAGACGCCUUUGGACGGGCAUGAACGCUUUCGGUCUCUCGGGUUCGAAUCCCGAAGGCGGCU